CUUAUCUGUGGCAGUCAAGGAAAACAGACGGGAUAUUGUCCAUCUCAUUCUUCAAGUCAUACAAGGCAUUCCUUGUCACGCUACUCGAAAAGACAAAAUGAACCACACAAAGUCUUCUAUUAGGAGCCCACUGUACGAGGCAUGUCGGAAGGUGAGGGGAGACUACGUACUGCUCCUUUUAGCCAAUGGGGCAACAACUGUACCGCAAGGUGAACAAGGAGAUACUGCUCUAGAUGCAAUUCUAGAGCCCUUAUGGAUCUCUCCGGAACACCUCGAAGCCAGGCUCCAAUGCCUGCAUUACUUGUUGUGGUU